UUCAUUUGUACAACCUAUACCCUCUUUUCCUUUUCAAAAAUCGUUAUAUGCUUCUUAAGCUAAAAAUAAAAGAUGCAACGCUUUGUCCUAUAAACUAGAUAUAAAACGAUCCGUUAAAUGUUUCCUCUCACGAUCAAACAUUCAAACCCUCUCGCCUACAAAGACCGUCAAUGUGCAUGAAAUUUGGUUGUCUCUCCUCCCCAUUGUUCCUCAACGUCCGUGCCACUCUCUUCUGCCUCAGCCUACGGAUGUCCGUGGACAGUCUAGGGGUGCAAACGAGCCGAGUCUUAUCGAGCCCGAGCCGAGUUUGAGCCUAAACAAAGCUCGUUUAUUUAUCGAGCCCAAGCUUGAGCCUGACAUGUUAAGCUCGCGAGGGAAGGUCAAGAUACCACCCACUGAACGGUUAGGACUGGGCAGCUGCAGACACGGCUGUGAGGUCGGCCCCAAAUCAUAACUGAACGUUUCUCCACGGAGGGGCAUAACAUUGGCUUACACAAGAGCCACGACUCUCUGAUGUAAUGCACAUUGGGAUGAAAACCCGUGUUAGCUCGGAAUCGAACAUGCAACCGCCAAAGAAGACCUAGUUCUUAUCUUCAUUGCCUUCAAUGUGAAAAGUUCUAAGAUCGACAUGAACAAUAUACAAAUAUAUCUAGGGAUAUUGGAUUUAAAUAACCCUAACUUUCAUCAUUUCGCCGAUAACACUCCAACUUACGAAUUGUAUCAUGUCACUCCCAACUUUUAACUUAUUUUUCUCUGACACUUCCAAACUAACUGAACCCUAAUUCAGUUUGCUAAUGUCAGAUGCCAUGUCACUAAACAACUGCCACAUAAGCAAAAAGUGCCACAUCAGAUGAUACGUCAGCAAAAAAAUUGUCAUGUUAGAUGCCACGUCAGCAAAAAAAUGUCAUGUCAGAUGUCAUAUUAGGAAAACUAACUGGUUUAGGGUUCGGGUAAUUUGGGAGUGAUAGAAUAAAAUAAAUUGAAAGUUGUGAGUGGCGUUGUAGAAUUCGUAAGUUGAAGUGUUAUAGACCAAAUAGUGAAACAUGCAGUUAUUUAAGGGGGUGUUUGGCUAAGCUUUUCCACACAUCCUUAUAACUUAGUGACUUUUAUAAAAAGUUAAUAAGGCGAAAAAAGUGUUUCACUCAAAACGAACUUUUAAAAUGACUUCUUAUAUAUAGAGGAAAAGUCAGUCAGUUUUGAAAAGUUAGAACAUUGUGACUUUUUGAAUCUCCUUAUAACUUUUCGUAAAAAAAUUACAAAAAAUGCCCUAAGUGCCCUAAUACACAUCGCUGUUCUUUUCCAUAUCUAUGUCCAUUUUAGUCAUUUUACAUGAAUAAACUAAGCCAAACACUUUUAAAAAACAACUUAUUGGCUUAUUGGCUUUUCAUAUCACAUAAGUUAAUCCAAAC
rnacentral:lncRNA from 1 species